UCUUGGAACCCGUUUCGGAGAGCUGACGAUGGAGGGGGAGGCGGAGGGGGAGCUCCACACCCAGGCCUGUCAGGAGGGGGUGGCGGCACCAGCCCGCUUCGAACUUUAUCAAAUGUCCCUCGGGAAGAGAACCAGGAAACAGAGGCCUGUUGAGACUAGCUGCAGCAAGGACUCGUCUGCCUCCUCGCAUAUAAACAGAGAAACAUGAGGAAACCACGCUUGAGCCCCACCGUGCAACUAAAAGGCCCGAACCUGAGCUUUGGCAUCCCUGAUUGGAACAGGCCUCCUAAACCCGGUGGUCCACCUCCGCUGUAGCUGCUGCCACUACUGAUGCUGCCGCCACUGCUGCUAAAGCCACUGCUGCCACCGCCACCGCCGCCUCCUCCUUUAGGCUCUGCAGCGAUAGAAGAGAGGGAGGAGGAAGUGAAUGUCAACCAACAACAAAAUACAACUUGUCGGUUGCUCUUACACACUUUUAAUUAGGUUAUGACCAUCUCUGUCCAA